GACGAACGCUGGCGGCGUGCCUAAUACAUGCAAGUCGAGCGGACGGAUGGGAGCUUGCUCCCAGACCGUCAGCGGCGGACGGGUGAGUAACCCGUGGGCAACCUGCCUGUAAGACUGGGAUAACUCCGGGAAACCGGGGCUAAUACCGGAUAACUCUUUCCCUCACAUGAGGGAAAGCUGAAAGAUGGCAUCUCGCUAUCACUUACAGAUGGGCCCGCGCGGCAUUAGCUAGUUGGUAAGGUAACGGCUCACCAAGGCGACGAUGCGUAGCCGACCUGAGAGGGUGAUAGGCCACACUGGGACUGAGACACGGCCCAGACUCCUACGGGAGGCAGCAGUAGGGAAUCUUCCGCAAUGGACGAAAGUCUGACGGAGCAACGCCGCGUGAGUGAUGAAGGUUUUCGGAUCGUAAAACUCUGUUGUCAGGGAAGAACAAGUACCGGAGUAACUGCCGGUACCUUGACGGUACCUGACCAGAAAGCCACGGCUAACUACGUG
rnacentral:rRNA from 1 species